rnacentral:rRNA from 1 species
AGUCGAGCGGUAACAGGAAUUAGCUUGCUAAUUUGCCGACGAGCGGCGGACGGGUGAGUAACGCGUAGGAAUCUGCCUGGUAGUGGGGGACAACAUGUGGAAACGCAUGCUAAUACCGCAUACGCCCUACGGGGGAAAGGAGGGGAUCUUCGGACCUUUCGCUAUCAGAUGAGCCUGCGUGAGAUUAGCUAGUUGGUGGGGUAAAGGCUCACCAAGGCGACGAUCUCUAGCUGGUCUGAGAGGAUGAUCAGCCACACUGGGACUGAGACACGGCCCAGACUCCGACGGGAGGCAGCAGUGGGGAAUAUUGGACAAUGGGGGCAACCCUGAUCCAGCCAUGCCGCGUGUGUGAAGAAGGCCUUAGGGUUGUAAAGCACUUUCAGGAGUGAGGAAGGGUGUACGGUUAAUACCCGUAUAUUUUGACGUUAACUCCAGAAGAAGCACCGGCUAACUCUGUGCCAGCAGCCGCGGUAAUACAGAGGGUGCAAGCGUUAAUCGGAAUUACUGGGCGUAAAGCGCGCGUAGGCGGUUUGUUAAGUCGGAUGUGAAAUCCCAGGGCUCAACCUUGGAAUGGCACCCGAUACUGGCAGGCUAGAGUACGGUAGAGGGGUGUGGAAUUUCCUGUGUAGCGGUGAAAUGCGUAGAUAUAGGAAGGAACAUCAGUGGCGAAGGCGACACUCUGGACCGAUACUGACGCUG